UUAUAGUUCCAGGCAUCAUGGGGGUAAACCUUGGUAAAAACAAAACCUCAUCUUAUCCGGUGGAGGACUAUGUACAAGGUGUGAGAAAGUUUGGUAAGGUCGCUGACUACCUCGUCAUAAACAUAUCUAGUCCUAAUACUCCAGGUUUACGAGCAAUGCAAGGGAAAGAUAUGUUAGAUACACUGUUAGAAAAGGUAAGUAUUGGUAAAACAAUUAAAUUGAAUUUUCCACCAGCUCACUUCCAUGAAGAAAAAAAAUUAAGGAAUUUUGCCAACCAUGCAGUGUAUUUAAAAGAUAAAUGCAAUGUUUCAUGUCUAUGUUUGCAUUGAAAAUGAAAAACAUUUUCUUACAAGUUUUAAUUAUUAAAUUAGGGGUGUAAUAUAAGAAAAAUUGAAAAUGGAAUCUUAGUUUUCUCUAUUUCUAAAAUUAUACCCAACUGUAUUUGAUUACAGGUAUUCCAAAUUUUACCUUAAAAAAGAUCUAUAGUAUAAGGUGAACCUGUAAACCAAGUUUAAGUCCCAUCUGUAGUAUGGUAAGACAUCUAAAUUGUAUAAUAUGCAAUCAUUGUUUGUUUGGUCUAUUUUCAGGUUUUAUCAGAGAGAGAUCAUAUACGAGGUAGAAAGCCACCAUUGUUAGUAAAAAUAGCUCCAGAUUUAACAGAUCAAGAUAAAAAAGAUAUUGCUGAAGUUGUUUUAAAUAGAAAGGUAAAAUUUUAGGUCAUUCUAUAAAUUAAAUGUUUGCAAAAGUAUGAAUUAUUCGAAACACUAAGGACUUUCUUAUCCAAGGUAUAGAUAACCUUAGACAUAUUUGGACUUUGUAUACCAUUAUACAACACUAUGUAAUUGCAUAGGCUGACCCAGGGGGGACGGGGGGAGGGGGGAAGUAGUGGGAGAAUUUGGUUGAUUAUUUGGGGAAUCACUGAAGCAUGACUGGAACGGGCCCCUCCUAAUGUCAGUCAGGGAGCCCUUCCUUAUGAAAAGUUCUGGAUCCGCCACUGAAUUGUUUUACUUUUCAUAAUACAUCUCAGUGUGUUACUAUCCAUACUUACAGUGUAUAUUUUAAUCAUUUGAAUGAGUGGAGAUAAAUAUUUGGGUUAUCGUUCUUUGUACGAUAGGCUUCUGUGUUUAUAUAUAAAAAUAUUAAAAUAGAUGUGGUAGGAAUUCCAAUGUGUAAAAAAAUGAACAAUUAUAGGUCAAAGUAUGGCCUUCAACAAAUAGAGCCAAGUUAGUUAUAGCACAGUUGACAUUACCCAGAAUAUUUCACAGUAGUUAUAAUUUCUACUCUUUAUCAAUGUAUAAAUUUUGGAUAACAUUGUUUACUUCCUAUGACUAUUGUCAGCUGGAAAUUGCUGUCAGUGCUGCUCAGAAAUUUGUUUUGAUACAGGGAACAAUUUGAUAUUUAUGCCCCAAUCUCUUAAACUUUUGGACAUUAUUAUGACCCUUCUAGGGGCUUCAUGUUUUUCGAACUUUGUCCAAUCAACUUGAAACUUAGUACACAGGUUAUUUAUGAUAUGACCUUUGUAAUUUUAAUGCCAAAUUAAGGUUUUGAUCCCAAUUUUACUGUCCACUGAACAUAGAAAAUGAUAGUGCAAGUGAGGCAUUUAUGUACUAUGGACCUAUUCUUAUUUAUUUGAAAUUCAUAAUAUGAUGGAAUUUAAAUAAUAUUCUAGUUAAAAAACCUGGUUGCGUAUUAUUCAAUUUAAUAAUAAUCUACAUACAAACUGAUAUAAAAAAAAUUAGACCAUUUUAUGCAGAAAAUAUAACUUUUUCGAAACAUUUUUCCUAUAUGCAGAAUUGUAUUGUUUAUUGUAUAUUGAACUUCGGAAUAUAGGGAAACAAAGUGACAUCCCUUUCUGAAAUUUGAGCCUCCCCAUGAACUUUUUUUUUUAUCUUUAGUUGCUUGGCCUUUUCAGUCAUUAUGAAACUACUUAGUCCACUCCCAACCCCCAUGAGGGCCUAAAAUUUCAUGUCAUGAAGCGAUGACCUUAUGCAUGUGCAAUGUUACAAAAUGAAUACUAUUAUCAUGUUGAAAUGAUAGUUGGUAUAUUUCAUGGAAAUAAAAUUAGUAUUUGUACCUAGAUGGAAUAAAUAAAUAAUUAAUAAGUGCUAUUAGAUUCGGCAAAGUAUACAAAAGGACAUGACAAGACUCUGAGGUUUAACCAAAGUAAAACAAACCUGGAGAAUUAUUACCCCAGGAAUGAUCAGUCAUUCACUCUGACAAAUUGAGUUUUUAUCCCGUCGUCAUUCAUGUAAGAGGAAGCAAUAUCAUGAUAUGGUGGUUUAGUUGGCAAAGUUGAUAUGAAUACUGGUGUGGUGCCAACAUAUCAUAUAUACCCCAUCGCUUCCCUUGACCCAAUUUUAGAUAAAACAUGUAAGCGGGUCUGCGUAUCAUCAUCCUCUGUGCUUGCUGUAGCCGACGCCAUAGACUUUGAAACGCCUUUCUUCGAUUAAUCAAUCUUGUUUACAUAAUCUUAAUGAAAAACAAGACCAUGCAUACUGCUUUAGAAUUGAUUGGGCGUUAUCCUCGUAUAUCCUCAUCCAUGUCAGCUGUAUAGUUUUGGACUUGUUACAUUCUAAGACCGAGUUUUUCUGCUGCGAACGCAUACAAUAAAUUUUGUUCUUAAUUUUGUUUUUUCAAAAUGAUGUGGAUGCUUAAGCAUCUGAGCAUACAUACAAGCUACGCCACUGCCUGGGAUUAGUAUAUAUGUAGGACUCAAAUCUAUGGCGGGUUCCAAUAUUCCUAUGGUAAACGUGACGUUACAUCAACGCAAACAACUCAAAUCUUAUGGCAGAUUUUUGUUUCUCAAAUCUAAGAUCUGAGAGUACAUAUAACGCCAUAUAACAUUUCGCUUCGCGCUAACGAUGGUGGAACCCAUAGAUUUGAACACCAUUCAAGAUGAAGUUAUUUUCCUGACAAAAAUUUGCCGGUGGUUUAAAGGAAGAUGUGACCUACUAUUCCGAAGAGGGACAAGAUGUGCUGUACCGGUCAAUGCCCGUGAUAAGGUCACCGCUAUUUUCAGUAUCGCAUAUUUUUGAAAAUGAUUUUGGUAGUAUCUACGGUUACGACUGGAAAGUUUUAAAUUGAAGAUCAAAUUACGGAUACAAAUUUGUUUAAAUCCACAUCAAAUAAAAAGAUGAAUUAACGAUUCGCUGAAAUAAAUAUUAUUUCUGACAAAAAUUUGCGGUGGUUUAAAGGAAAUAGACUACUUUUCCGAAGAGGGACAAGAUGUGCUGUCCGGUCAAUGCCUGCGUUGUGGACAGUUUCUCAUUGGCAUAAUCCACAUCUUUUUUAUAUGAAUAAGGCAACCGCUAUUUUUAGUAUCGCAUAAUUUUUAAAAGGAGUUCUGGUAGUAUUCUACGGCUAUGGCUGGAAAGUUUAUUAUGUGAAGAUCAAAUUACCGGAUACAAAUUUAAUUUAAAUCCACAUCAAAUAAAAAAGAUGAAUUAACGAUAUCGCUUAAAUAAACAUUAUUUCAAAAUUCAAACUGUACUUUAUUUUAUUUGUUACUUUUUUAUUAUUUGUUUUAUACAAAAAGCGGUCUUCUUGUUUGUUAAACGACUUAUUAGUUGGUUUAAUGAAUGGAUUAAACAGAUACCAUGCACAGAUUGAAAAAAAAUGUUUAUUUUUUACAGAGCACAUCAUUUCAUCUUGAAGUCUGUAUUAAGGUUUAUGAAUUUAUAAUUUAUGACUUUUUUUGGUUGACCAUUAUGGAAUGUUUAUUUCACAAAUGUUUAUAGACAUGUUCCCGUUGUCGUAAAUUUCCUCUUUCUUUAAACAAGGCAUUGUCGAAAAUGUACUUAUUAAUUGUUUUCAUUUGCAAAAAAAUUAAUAGAUUUUGAACAAUAAAAUCUGCAUAAUUAGGAAACUACAAACUUGCCAUAGAUUAGAUUGUAAAAAAUCUGCCAUAGAUUGGGAUGGCAUGACGUCACAUUUACCAUAAGAUUAGGAAUCUGCCAUAGAUUUGGAACCCACCAUAGAUUUGAGUCCUACAUAUAUGUUCCUGGUAAUAUUACAGUGAGUUUAAACAUCCCAUUGUAAUACACUCUUGGUAUAUUUACAGGAAUCUCUUGGCGGGUUAAUUAUAAGUAAUACUACAGUGAGUCGACCAGACUCAUUAAAAAGUCCUUACAAAGAUGAAGUUGGAGGCUUAAGUGGAGAACCAUUAAAAGAUCUUUCUACUAAAACCAUAUCUGAUAUGUACAGGUUAACAGAAGGUAGGUUUAUCAGCAAUAUCAAACAGUUAACAACAUGUUUAAAAAUUUAAACAACACUUUGAGAAUCUCUUUUAUACAUUUCCCUAAAUACCAGGAAUGCAAAAAAUAAAAGAAAAUAAACUAUAUAUAAAUACUUAAGAAACUAUAUGACCAAGACCAAAAGUGACCUAAACAAAAUAAUAAAAACCAAAUAACAUUAGCUGUGCAUUUUAGUUCCUUGAACAAUUCCAAAUUUAUCAAGUGUUGAGGUAAGUAUUUAAUUUUCAAAUAAUACUAUCAACUUUAUGACUAUAAAGGGGAAAUACGCUGCUUCAUGGGAUUAACAGAAACUAGUGCAAUUAAACAUAAUCAAACAUUUAGAAAAUAAGAUGUGGUAUGAUUGCCAAUGAGACGACUAUUCACCAUGGACCAAAUGACAUAGAAAUUAACAACUAUAGGUCACCAUACAACAUUUGAAAAUUAACAAAACCUAUACAUCAAAGUCAACUAUAAACGGCCACAAAAUUAUCUAUUGUAGGGAUAAAUAAUUUUAAUGAUUAUUUGAUAUUUUAUAUUUCAGGAAAAGUACCAAUUAUAGGAGUAGGAGGCAUUGGUUCAGGUGAAGAUGCUUAUGAUAAAAUCAAAGAAGGUGCUUCAUUAGUCCAGUUAUAUACAGCAUUGAUUUACCAGGGUCCACCUGUUAUAGGGAAAAUUAAUAGGGAAUUAUCAGAAUUAUUAAUGUAAGUAUAUUUGAAUUUUUACCAAUUUCAGCUGGAAAUUUGCUUAGUUAUAACUUAAUAUGACCAUUUUGGUGGCAAAUGUAAUUUUAGUUAGUGAAGCAUUAAUAUUUAGAUAUUUAAUAUUUUGAAAGUGUAUGUUUAUAAAACUCUCUUUCAGCUGAUAAUUUCAGCUUUACAUGUAAGUCUCUUUAAAACAAUUCCUGUGCAAAUUACAAUGUGGACUUUGAGAUAACUUGAACAGUCAUGUUACAAAGUCUAAAUCAUAAGAAUCUGUUAUAUUUUACCUUCUCUAAUUUUUAAUUGAUUUACCCUUUUCAUGACCUGUCGAUUAUUUUUUGUUUAAUCAAUGUGUGUUUUGUUUGAUCUCAGUUCUUUAUGGGUCAAAAUUUGAUUAUGAUGUCAAAUUUUCUUGCUUUCCACUGAAAUUCCUAUUGUGACAUCAUAGAAAGACGACCAUGCCUGAUGACAUCACGUGGAAAAGAAAGAUUAAAUUGUCUGCAUAUUGUCUAAAAAACAGAUUCCACCACCAAUUUGAGUGGAUAAUUUGUAUCACUCAAUGCAGUGGUAAAAUCUAUUUUUACAAAAGAUUACAUUCAUGUGCCAUAUAUCUACAACCAGACAGCUAUUUCUAACAGAAUACUUUACAAAUCUAUUUAACAGAAACUAACAAAGAUCAGCCACCAAUAAAUUUAAAUAUUGUGGACAAAAAGAGACAAGCAACCACUCUAGAGUUUCCACAAUUGGCAGACACAUUAACAUAUAUGGGUGGCCUUGUGUUUUCUGCUCUUAAUUUGGGUUGUUAGUCUCUCUGACACAUUCCCAUAUCCUUUCUUCAUACUAUUAACAUUAAAAUAAUGUAUUGAUAAUUUUGUUCAUCGGUAAAUAUGUACUACCAAAAUUGCACACAAUUAAAACUUAUUUUGUCCAUUGAACAUGAUGAUCAGAUAAGAUAUAAUUGGUCCUUUUAUCUGACCAUUUGAACCAGUGUCCUUUCAUUAUAAACAUAAUCAUAAUUCUUGUUAUAUUUAUCAUUACAGUAAGGAUGGUUAUAAAAGCAUUACAGAGGCAGUGGGAGCCAAUCAUAAAACAAAAUCAUGACAAAGG
rnacentral:lncRNA from 1 species